UCCGGUGAUCAUAGCAUAGAGGUCACACCCGUUCCCAUCCCGAACACGGAAGUUAAGCUCUAUUGCGCCGAUGGUACUGCACGGGAAACCAGUGUGGGAGAGUAGGUCAUCGCCGGGA
rnacentral:rRNA from 1 species